rnacentral:miRNA from 1 species
CACGCCACAUAUGGUUUGUACGUGCUCCAACUGGACACGCAUGUGCAAACCAUAUGCGGUGUG